rnacentral:rRNA from 1 species
GUAGUCCACGCCCUAAACGAUGUCUACUGGUUGUCGGUCCGGUUACGGAUUGGUAACGAAGCUAACGCGUGAAGUAGACCGCCUGGGGAGUACGGUCGCAAGAUUAAAACUCAAAGGAAUUGACGGGGACCCGCACAAGCGGUGGAUGAUGUGGAUUAAUUCGAUGCAACGCGAAAAACCUUACCUACGCUUGACAUGCUCAGAAUCCUGCUGAAAGGUGGGAGUGCUCGAAAGAGAACUGAGACACAGGUGCUGCAUGGCUGUCGUCAGCUCGUGUCGUGAGAUGUUGGGUUAAGUCCCGCAACGAGCGCAACCCUUGCCAUUAGUUGCUACGAAAGAGCACUCUAAUGGGACUGCCGGUGACAAACCGGA